GCAGACAACCCAAAAGCCUGUCUGAAGAAAUGUAUCGGAGUGAGUUUUGAGGGCAACGCCAGAGUAUAUCAUAAUGAAAGAGCGUGUUGGCAGGGGAUAGAUCAACAAGUAAAAGGAAGCCUAGAAGAGCUCAGCAAAACAGAGUGACUCAUUUUUAGUACGGACUACACUGUGAGGCACUUUGCCUGGCUAAUGUUGGCCAGUGGGCAGUGUCAGAUUACAUCACUUUAAGCUACAGAUGACUGAAUCGGAUCAGGGUCGGAGGUCAAAGGAUAGCCUGGCGGAGCUACUAGCGCUGCUCUGUCAGUGCUUACAGACAUCCUAAGUCAGUCUAACUCUGGAUAAAAGGAUUGAAGGUUCAGCCAUCAUCACCUAUCUACCUGGCUACAUACUGAGUCUUCCUUCGUCUCUACAAUAAAAAUCUUAAGGUUUGCACAUCUCUUAUUCACUCAGAGGUUAAUAUAAAGAGAAAGAUAUCAAAAGUUUGGAUAAUUUUAAGUUUGCUGGUCAGGUCAACAUGUCCGACUUGCAUAAAUUAACAGCAAUCACCAAACAGCAAAAGUCUGCUCAUUAAGGAUUAUUGCUCACUUAUGUGUGGCUUUGGGAAAUGGAUGACCUGUGAUAAGACAAGGUUCAGCACUACUAAUUAGUCCACGCCCGUUCUUUUUUAAAAUGGGUUUCGAAAUUAACUUUAAUUACACAGUCCAUUGAUUAAACUUUUAUGAUCAUCUCACUCAGCUUCACAACACAAGUCACACUAAUAUACUUGUAUGUUCCCAAGUUUGAGGCAUUCUCCCCCAGCUUCCCCUGGCAGAUAACACCAGUGUCAGGCUGACAUAUUUAAUCCACCACACUAUUCUCAUAGGAAUCUGCUACAGGCUAAUCAUGCAUCAAAGAAUAAUUGCAGUCAUUUAAAAGCAAUGCUUGAAUGGUAUUUGAUAAUUAUUGUCCCUGCAGUCCGCCAUUUCCCAGCAAUUCACAUCUUUCAGACCAGAGGCAAGGACUACGUGGAGUCUGCGUAUUGCUUCUGAACGUUAACACCACUUAAGGAUAAGAACUAUUUCCUCGUGUCUCUCUUACAGGAAAACCCAUGUUUUCGUAGACGUAAUUCAGCAGCUGAAAGAUUACGCCAGGAUGAGCUAUUUUUUUUAAUCAUUCGAAAUGUUCAAUAGACCUAGAAUAUCACCCAAGCAAGAUCUCACAGUCUCCAAUGUUAUUAGGCUUUAUUCUGAGGUCCAGUUGCUCCCAAAAGUGCUCAUACCUCUUUAAAAAUGGUAGGUUUUUGUAAUGAAAAAAAGGUGAGACUUUAGCAUUUUAUUUCAGUCUUUUUCAGCAUGCAGUGUUACAAAUAUCGUGUACAAUUCAAAGGAUAAACAAACAUCUCCAUAAGAGUAAAAAUAUAUUUCAACAAGAAGCUGCAAUAACCUGGUUGAAUAAAUGCACAAGACCUCAAGCUAAUACUUCUUUGGAUAACUUUUUCAUUCAGUUCCAGCAUUCAGUCUUCCCAAGUUCACACCUGUCCCCAAUUACAAAGAAUCUGGUUACUUAAAAAAAGUUCAGCUGUGCUGUUAAGAUUUUCCCCACCUCUUGUCAUUUGCAUCCUUUAGUUCAAGCCAUGGUUUACAGAGAGAUUACAAUAGAUAGAUCAAAAUAUUCUCACUGUAUAAAGAUAGCAGUAAGGAGAACUAUACACAAAAUUCAAUUGGUUUAUAUAUGAUGGAUUUAUACACAAUAGACAUCUAAAAUAUACUGCGUAUGCAGAGUAUUUUUAUUAUUAACACCCUUUUAAGAUCAACCUUUUAAUACUUGGUAUACACAUGCUGCUUUUGAUACCAAAUGGGGGCUUGAAGUCAACCCACCCCUGUUUCACCUCUGAUCCACCUCAGGAGGAAAUGACAGAGCAGUGGAGCUUUAUAAGAAUAAUCAACAUUUCAAUUCAACUCUAAGCUUUUUUUUUAUUGGUUGAUUAAUUUUAAGCAUUAAAAUCUCCUGUAAAAAGUUUGGAAAAUAGCAUGUCUUUCUUUUAAAUGUUUCUUUUGAAAAUGUAUAAACCCCACUAUGCAAAGGGGCCAAACUUGGUGCAAAAACACAGUGACUUAAAAAAAUAUUAAUUCCCCAUUUAACUUUUUCUUAUUUUGUCACACUACAACCACAAACGUCUAUGUAUUUUAUUGAUAUACACCAACACCAAGAAGUGCAUAAUUGUAAACUGCAAGGAAAAAUAAGAAAGAUGAACAUAUGUCGUAAGCUGUUCUGUGUAAACUUGUUAUUGGACAAAAAAUAGACAAAAAACACUGUGAAGAGCUAAACACUCCAUGCCCACCGUAAAAAACGGUGGUGGCAGCAUCAUGCUAUGGGGCAUGUUUUUCUUCAGCAGGGACAUGGAAGUUUGUAAGAGCUAAGUGGGAAGAUUGGUGGGACCAAUUACAGGGGAAUCCCAGAAGAUUCCCUUUUUUAUCCUAUUUUGAGAACAAAACAGAAGACGGGAGUGGAGGUUCCAGUAGAACAAUAGCCCUAAAUACAUGUAACAAGAGAAAAUGAAAAAUGUUUAAUGACCAUGAAUAUAUUUGCAAGGCUCUGUAGAUUAAGUCUUCCACUGAGAUUACAUAAUUCUAAAAGUAAGGGUAUGUUAGGGGUAUUUUGCGCCAGUUUCACAGUUUUAACCAUGAAAUAAAGAUACUCAUGAAUGGUUUAUUAUUUGGCUUUUUCAGUUAAAUGCGAUAUAAAGUUAGCUUUGGACAAAACACCCUAAUGCUGUUUUGAGUGCAGGUAAAAAAGCUAUUUUAUCUAGUUUUGCUUACUAAAAGCACUGCUUGGCUUCAUGUUACAAGUGUUUCUGAGAUAAAAGUUUUUUUUUGUUUUUUGUUUUUGAUUUUUUUAUCAGUCAGUCUUUUUCUUAAUUUAAAUAAUGAGUCUGAAGACACCAGGAAAAUACUACCAGAAUAAUUAUAGGAAAUACAAUGUUAGCGCAGAGAUUUUGAUUUUAUUUUGCCUGUGUACUUUUUUCUCAUGUCUCAGGUCACCUGAACACCUGAAGACACAUUUCCAUAUACUGUAUGUCACAGCUCAAAUUGUGUGUAGGCUAUUCUUUACUUUGUUUGUUACUUUCCAUUAAAAUGCCACUGCAAUGUACUUUUAUGUUUUUUUGUCACUGCAAAUUCCUUUUUCAUAAUGUAAAGCACUUAAAAUUGUCUUGUUGCUAUAGAAAUAAACUUGCAGUGACUUGCCUUGCCUUCA